rnacentral:tRNA from 1 species
GCCUAGUUAGCUCAGUUGGUAGUGCGUCUGCCUUGUAAGCCCUAGGCCGCGGGUUCGAUUCCCGCCCGGGGCU